AACGCAAGUUGCGCCCGAAGCCAUUAGGCCGAGGGCACGUCUGCCUGGGCGUCACACAACGUUGCCCCCCCCACCCUCGCGGCGGAGGGGGCGGAAGAUGGCCUCCCGUGAGCCACUCGCCUCGCGGUUGGCCCAAAAACGAGUCCUCGGCUGCGAUCGCCGUGACAUUCGGUGGUUGUCGAAAAAUCGGUGCCCCGUCGCGCGCUCUUCUGCAGUUUGCGAGAGCUCCUCAGUACGACCCCAACGCACCGCUCGACGCGGUGCUUCCGACGCGACCCCAGGUCAGGCGGGGCUACCCGCUGAGUUUAA
rnacentral:misc_RNA from 1 species